GGAGGAGUAGCUCAGUAGUAGAGCAUGUGCCAGGCAUGCAUGAGGCUCUGGGUCCAAUCCUCAGCACCACCA
rnacentral:tRNA from 1 species